CAUUUAUUGAAUGCCUACUAUGGGCCAGAUGAACUCUAAUUUCUGGGCAGCCUCCCAGCGAUUAAUGCCUUUCCAUUUAUGACGUGAGAAGAAUGAGCAGCAUGUUACAGUUGGUCUUCUGUCCGUUUCUGAAGAGUGCCGUGCCAGGAUUUUGAUGUGCACUCGCGUUCUGGCACCAGGCGUCACACUUCUCACCCAGCACAGAGCCAGCUCACAGAUCCUGUUCGGCACAGCAACUCCAGACAUGCAGCCUGAAUUUGAAGGUGCCCUCUUAAAAUGUGGCAGGCACAGCCUCUCUCUUAGUAUUUGGAGCUCAGCUGCCUUCAGAGCAGCCUUGGAAGAGUUGUGUGUUACCUACUCACUGAAGCAAUCUCCCUAAAGCUCUUACUGGGAUUUCUCCCAAAUAAGCUUCUGGAUUUUAAGUUCUUAUCUUAGGAUCUGAUUUUUAGGGAAGCCCUUAACAA